rnacentral:rRNA from 1 species
AGAGUUUGAUCAUGGCUCAGGACGAACGCUGGCGGCGGGCUUAACACAUGCAAGUCGAACGAGAAGCCUGUAGCUUGCUACAGGUAGAGAGUGGCGCACGGGUGCGUAACGCGUAGACAACCUACCCUUAGAUGGGGAAUAACUUCUGGAAACGGGAGCUAAUACCGCAUAUUGUCGAUUUAUCGCAUGAUAGAUUGAUGAAAGCAUUAGCGUCUAGGGAUGGGUCUGCGUCGGAUUAGGUAGUUGGUGAGGUAAAGGCUCACCAAGCCGACGAUCCGUAGCUGGUCUGAGAGGAUGACCAGCCACACUGGCACUGAGACACGGGCCAGACUCCUACGGGAGGCAGCAGUGAGGAAUAUUGGGCAAUGGGCGCAAGCCUGACCCAGCCACGCCGCGUGCAGGAUGACACCCCUAUGGGGCGUAAACUGCUUUUAUACGAGAAGAACAUGCCCAACGUGUUGGGUACUGACGGUAUCGUACGAAUAAGGACCGGCUAACUCCGUGCCAGCAGCCGCGGUAAUACGGAGGGUCCAAGCGUUGUCCGGAUUCACUGGGUGUAAAGGGUGUGUAGGUGGGAUAACAAGUCAGAGGUGAAAGCCUGCAGCUUAACUGUAGAACUGCCUUUGAUACUGUUAUUCUUGAGUCUUGGAGAGGUCACUGGAAUUCUGUGGUGUAGCGGUGAAAUGCGUAGAUAUCACGAGGAACACCUGUUGCGUAGGCGGGUGACUGGACAAGUACUGACACUGAGGCACGAAAGCGUGGGGAGCGAACAGGAUUAGGUACCCUGGUAGUCCACGCCGUAA